rnacentral:rRNA from 1 species
GACGAACGCUGGCGGCGUGCCUAAUACAUGCAAGUCGAGCGGACAGACGAGGAGCUUGCGGCUCUGACGUUAGCGGCAGGCGGGUGAAUAACGCGUGGAUAACCUACCUGUAUUACUGGUAACACUACGGGACACCGGAGCUUAUACCGUAGAAUCUAUUGAACCGUGGGGUUCAAUGGUGAGAGUCGGUGGUGCUGGCUCGUCUAGAUGGAUACGAGCUUGAUGAGCGGGUUGGUAAGGUACAAGCUUAUGAAGGCUACGAUGCGUGAGCGAGUGGAGAGAGUGAUCGGCCACACGGGAACGGAGACACGGUCCAGACUCCUACGGGAGGCAGCAGUAGGGUAUCUUACGCAGUGGGCGAAAGCAUGACGGAGCGACGCCGCGCGAGUUAUGAAGGUCUUGCGAUCGUAAAAAUCUGUUAUUAGUGAAGAACAAAUGUGUAAUUAAACAUGCAGGUCGUGACGGUACCGAAUCAGAAAGCCACGGCUAACUACGUG